CUCUCAUCUUCUCUCAAACCACCUUCCAAAACUUACAGAAACCCUAAUCUCCUAGCCUCCUUCUUCGUUCUUCCAUAGCAAAUCAAAUGGUACGUGGGAUUUCUGUUUUCACAGCGAUCAAAAAACCCUAAACCUUUAUCUUUCUUCGAGAUUCCUAAAACCUAACAUCUUCAUCUUCAACUGUCAAGCAAUUGCUUCUUAUAUUAUCUAUUAUCUUGAUGUUGAAGUUUAAUCCGUUUAUUGAAUGAUGAUUUUGAGUUUUCAUCACUUUUGGGAAGCAAGAAGGUUAUAUUCUUAUUCUUUUAUUCGUUUUUUUUUCUAUCUAUAAUGUUGGAUUGGUGGUUGGAUAGCAUAAAAGGGAUGAGUUAGUCAGAAAUGGUAUGUGUUUUUAUUUCUUCUUCGAUUCCUUUUUUCUAGAUCUACCAAGUGAAACACCAGUGUGAUGGAAAUAUUACAUUAUGGAUUUUUAUUUCGAUUUGACCUAAUUAUAUCAGUGACGAGUGGUGGUGGGUUUAAUUGAACGAUGAUUUUGAGUUUUCAUCAAUUUUCGUUUCUGAUUAUCCAUUAAUUUGGGAUAAAGUUGGGAACUUAUUUCGAAACUGAAUUUUAUUGAUGAAUGGAGAUGUUAGGGUUUAUUUUGGAUUAAUGUUUCAUUUUCUGCUCUGUUCUUGCUCCAUCAGGUUGCUGACUUUCAUCCUCACAAUCUACACACAUUUUUUGUAAAUACCCAAAUUCUUUUUAGGUUGUUGAGGUUAUAUUGUUAAAUGAUAGGGAUCCCUUACAGGUUAAAUCAAUUUUUGUCAAGAAAAUCAGGGGUUUAAUCGAUGAAUAUUAGUAGAUUAAUUGAAGAAUAUUAGUCAUUUAUACUUUCAUAUCUGUUUCAUUAACCAUGUUAAAAUGUCAUAGUUAAACCAUAUGAUCUCAGUUCUUAGGCUGCUAGAAAUUAUUUAACAUUUUAUAUAUGAUUUUGUGUGUGUAUAUAUAUUGUGUCUUUUCUGUUUCGGUGCAACUACUGGGAUGGUCGUUUGACUAGAAAUACAUAGUUAGAGGACUCGUGCUCGACAAAAAAAGGAAAUAUACUGAAGAUGGACAGGCAUAAAUAUGUGAAAGUAGCAUAUCAUGGAUUUCGAUUGAUAUCAAAGAAGGACAUAAUGCGUCAUCCAGUUGAUAUUAGAGAUCAUGACCAUGGUGAGGUACGUGAAUAGGAGGGUGUGGUGUAUGGCAUAGGGAGGAGUUGUAGUUCAUAUGGUUUUCCAUUGUGUUAAAUAGAAGGUGGCUUAGCGAGAGCUUUAGCCUGAAACUGUAUAUACACAUUUUAGGAAGCUGUGUAAACAGAACACUUUGUUUAGCUUUUUUCUAUUAGUAGGAUGCUAUAUGUAAUAUAUUUAUUUUU